GUCCAUGACGUAGUAAGACACACUAUGAGCCAGUAUGAUCCGACCAGACCUUACAUCAGCAUUGAGGAGUUGUCGGAGAAGAAAGAGGCUGAUUGAAGCUGGACAGAUGACAUGGAUCCAUCCUUCCACAGCCAGGAGCGCACCGACCUGUGUCCCACACUUCAUAUAAGACUGGAAGCUACACUGAUCUCACAGCUACACACCACAGACGUCUACACACUGGAGAAGAUUCAGACAGAGUCCCAAAAAGAAGUCAUGUCAUUUCAAGCCUCACCUGAGUUUUUGUACAAUAUAUUUGCUGUAUGUAAAUAAAGCUUUCACUCCACAUAUA